ensembl:lncRNA
UGGGCAAGAUCCGGGCUGGGAGGUCUACAGAGCCUGGCCAGGCACACGGCGGAGGGGAUUGGACAAGUCCCGGCUUCCUGGCUCAAGUCCGGACAGGUCCUGGGUCUCUGGGCCCUCGCAUUUUCCUCUUGGAAAUGAUUUUUAGGACCUCGUUCAGCCCUGAGCUGGUCACGAACUAAUCACGUGUUACAAGCUCCAACUGAAAAUUACCAGGAAGAAAUUACAGAGGACUUGUCAAAGUCCAUGUCCUGGGGUGAAGUUUGUCAUCGUCGUGCUGCCAUGGAGACAGACCUGUUGCAUCACGUGGAGCACUGUUUCAGACCCUGCCCGAGAAACGCAAGGGGCGUGGCUGGCUGUUCAUUUUCUGUCUUUCUUCUAAUCUAUCUGUUUUGGGUAAACACUCGUCUGGUCUGCGAGCUGAGAGGGGGCGCCCUCAAGUUUCACCUGUGCGGCUCCCAGGGAGCUCCUCCCGCCCUCCCUCCGGCAGGCCGCGGGCGAGGGCAGGCGCAGGGCCCGACGGCCGACGCAGCGCCGCGCCCACUCACCUCGGCGAUCCGGGCCCGCUGCUCGCGCGCCGCGGCGUCGGCCGGCUCGCGGUUGUCCACGCCCACGGGCGGCGCGAAGUGCAGCACCGGCAGCCCGCGCUCCGGCUCCGACUCGCGCCGCUGGUCGCGGGCCACCUCCGCCUUGUCGCGCAGGAUGUCCCUCCGGAUCUCCUCGGGCGGCUUCUGCAGCGUGUCCUUGGCCUCGCGCAGCGCGCGCUCGUGGUUCUCGCGGAUGCGGGCCAGGGGGUCCUGGGCGCGCGGGCCGGGGCCGGGGCCGGGCCCGGGCCGGGGGGCGGCGGGCGGCGCGGCGUGGAACAGCACCCCGCUGAGCAGCUUGGAGGGGUCGGGCAGGAAGAAGAUCGCGCCGAAGCACAGCGUGGCGAAGGCGCUGAACACCAGCAGCAGCGCGAACUUCUCGCUCAGGCGGAAGGCGGCGGCGCCCGCGCCCUUCCUGCCGCCCGCGCCCGCGCCCGGCGCCCUGGCCCGCGCUCCGCUGGGCCCCCGAGCAGCGGCAGCAGCGGCCCCGCGGGCAUCGUAGCCGUCAGCGCAUGCGGGGCUCCACGGCAGGCGGGGCAGGCGGCCGGGCGCGCAGCCUGCGGGACGGACGGGCGCGGCGGUCGGGCGGGGACCCCGCACCCCCGACGGCCGCGCCGCGCCCGGCCGGGAAGUUCCGCCGGGCUCUGCGGCCCCGGGCUGCCGCGAGCGCCGGGCGCGCCUGCGAGCGAGGCAGCCUGGGCGGUCAGCCCCGAGCCCCGGCGCCCCGCCCGAGGCCCAUGUCAGUGGCUCCCGCUCCUCCGCGGCUCCCCCGCUGCUCCGCAGGCGCCGAGCUGCACCGCUGCUGGAGCGCCGAGCUCUACCGCGGCCGGCUCGGGGCGGGGCGGGGCGCCGGAGUGACAGCGCGGCCGGCCAAUGCGCGCAGCGCGGGGUCCCGCGGGGGCGGGGCUGGGGCGGAGGGGCGGGGCGGGCAGGCGCUUACGGGAAGCGGGGCGGGGGAGGGGCCGGGCGCGGAGGGCGGGGCCCAGGGACGUCACCUGGACUGGGCUCCGCGGGGUCCCGGGUGCUGGGUCCUGGGUGGCGCAGAAGCGCUCCGGGAGGCUCAGGACCCCGGGUCCCUGGACCCCUGGACCCCUGGCUUUCUAGACCCCUGGACCCCUGGUUCCCCGGCCUCCUGUACCCCUGCAUCCCUCGGUCCCUGGACCCCUGGACCCCCGGAUUUCCUAGACCCCCGGACCCCUGGAUUUCCUAGACUCCUAGACCCCUAGCCUCCUGGACCCCUGGACUCCUGGGCCCCUGGAACCCUGUACCCUGGACCCCUGCAUCCCCUGAGCCCCCCGGACGCCCUUGGCCCCUGAAGACAGCGGACCCCUGCCGCCCCUGGAUUCCCCACACUCCUCGGUCCCUGAACCCCGAGCUCCCUGGCCCCGCGGGGCCCUGUCCCCCUCCGCGCCCGCUCCCCUCCUGCCCGAAAAGUUGUGCGUCCCCGCCGGCCGCCGACUUUCGGGCGCCCUUACCUCGUGGCAGUUGCUUAGAUUUUCCAUCGCGAGCGGCUUCAGCUGCCUGCGCCCCGGCCGCGCGCCGAGCCCGAGGAGGAGGCGAAGUCUGGGCCGCUCCUCCGCGGUGACGGCCGGGUCGGGGCGCUCGCCUAGCUCGCAGCCUCGCUCCCGUGGCGCCCGGCGCUCAGGGUGCCAUGGAGACGGCGCCGCCCCCGGCCCUCGGGGUGGGCUGGGCGGGGCACCUGUGGCCGGCCGCGCGCGUGUGCGCGCCUGCGUGUGCGCGCGCGCGUGGUGUUGGGGGACAACAUGGUUUCCCCAAAAGUGUCCCCGCUCCCCAGUUCCUCCCGCGGCGGCAUCAGCGCGGCCGUCUCACCCCAGGGAGACGACCCUGCCUCGGCCUCGAAGUCCGCUCGCAGGACCGCGCCCCUUGGGAAAGCGGGAGGCCCCAGCGCCCACGCGAAAGGAGCCGUCCUGCCCUCACGUCCUCUCUGGUGGAAACGGCGGCUCGCGAGGCCGACUUCGGGACCUGUGUUUGGGUCCCUGCAAGAAAUCCUGCGUCCAGGAGAGUGCAGUGCAUCCAAGCAGGGCAGCGAACUAGGACUGGCUCAGAAGAAAGCGAACUUCUAAGUGAUGGCAAGUCAGUUCGCGCGAACUCGGGCGCGUGGACGGCGCUCGGGCCUGGAGGACCCCGGGCCUCGGUGGUUACCCGAGAACCCAGCGCCCUGCAGUCGUCGUUUCAAAAGUUGUCCUGGCAAUGGGAUUACUUCUUGUAGCCACCGAAACAUGUAGAGACUUCAAUUGGCAAUUACGUCGGGCGUGGUGAGGGAAGUGCUGUGGGAUUCUAAAGAGGAAGAGCAUGUGUAAUACCUAGGGUUUGCAUUCCCUGAGAAGAGCGGCCUCGGACAGACGGAACACACCUGAGCUCCUUUUCACCCCUUACCCUGGAUCUGGUCCCCUUCCCCUCUGAGGAAGAUCUAUCUCCCUAUUUCCUAUUAUCUAUCUUUCAUUUUGAUUCUUAUUUAAACUUUUCUCUCCAUUCUGUCUCAUAAAAGAUCAUAUGGUUUUCUGGAAAAACAAAACGAACUCAGAAAGUGAAAAAAAUUUGUAAUACAUUAUUCUGGCCUCUUGGAAUUUUUUUCAUGAAAUAAAGUGAAAUGAAACCAC